CCAUGGUCUCCUCAUCUCUCGGGUUGUUUCUGCUGCUAGCAGCCGUCUCUUGUGUCCACUGUGUUGAACUGACCCAGACUGAUUCUAUGGUUUUAAGGCCUGCUCAGGUUUUGACACUGUCCUGUAAGAUCUCUGGGUAUUCAGUGACUGACAGCAGCUACUGCACUGGCUUCAUACGACAGCCUGCAAGAAAAGCUCUGGAAUGGGUUGGAAUGAUAUGUGGUGAUGGUAACACAUAUUACAGUGAUAAACUGAAAAGUAGAUUUCAAGUUACCAGAGACUCUUCCAGCAGCUCAGUGACUCUACAAGGACAGAAUAUGCAGACUGAGGACACAUCUGUGUAUUUCUGUGCCAGAUAG